AUUGAACGCUGGCGGCAGGCCUAACACAUGCAAGUCGAGCGGCAGCGGGAAAGUAGCUUGCUACUUUUGCCGGCGAGCGGCGGACGGGUGAGUAAUGCCUGGGGAUCUGCCCAGUCGAGGGGGAUAACUACUGGAAACGGUAGCUAAUACCGCAUACGCCCUACGGGGGAAAGCAGGGGACCUUCGGGCCUUGCGCGAUUGGAUGAACCCAGGUGGGAUUAGCUAGUUGGUGAGGUAAUGGCUCACCAAGGCGACGAUCCCUAGCUGGUCUGAGAGGAUGAUCAGCCACACUGGAACUGAGACACGGUCCAGACUCCUACGGGAGGCAGCAGUGGGGAAUAUUGCACAAUGGGGGAAACCCUGAUGCAGCCAUGCCGCGUGUGUGAAGAAGGCCUUCGGGUUGUAAAGCACCUUCAGCGAAGAGGAAAGGUUGGUAGCUAAUAACUGCCAGCUGUGACGUUACUCGCAGAAGAAGCACCGGCUAACUCCGUGCCAGCCGCCGCAGUAA
rnacentral:rRNA from 1 species